CCAGACUCCUACGGGAGGCAGCAGUGAGGAAUAUUGGUCAAUGGACGCAAGUCUGAACCAGCCAUGCCGCGUGCAGGAUGACGGCUCUAUGAGUUGUAAACUGCUUUUGUACGAGGGUAAACCCCGAUACGUGUAUCGGGUUGAAAGUAUCGUACGAAUAAGGAUCGGCUAACUCCGUGCCAGCAGCCGCGGUAAUACGGAGGAUCCGAGCGUUAUCCGGGUUUAUUGGGUUUAAAGGGGGCGCAGGCGGGUGGUGAGGCCGGGGGGAAAAGCCGGGGGCCCACCCCCGGGGAGCCGUUGAAACUGGCGGGCUGGAGUUGGAGAGAAGUACGCGGAAUGCGCGGUGUAGCGGUGAAAUGCUUAGAUAUCGCGCAGAACCCCGAUUGCGAAGGCAGCGUACCGGCGCCACACUGACGCUGAGGCACGAAAGCGUGGGGAGCAAACAGGAUUAGAUACCCUCGUACA
rnacentral:rRNA from 1 species